AAGCAGUUCUCCCGCGGCCCCCUUGCGCUCCUGGCCGUCCGGAAGGGCCUCGCGCCCUGGGCAUCCGCCGCCGUCCCCGACCUGCCUUCAGAGCAGGCGGCCAGCAGGAGCUCGCCAGGUGUACCCGGCACCCUAAGGGUGACCCAUCGCCAACAUUUCGUAACUAAAACAAACCGCCUCGAAGUCACCCAGCUGGGCUGGUGCGAAAUGUUCCAGGCGAACCGCUGAAGAAAGACUGGCAGGGACUCGGUCGGCCAACCGCACUGAGGCGCCUCGGCAGCGAGCGCAAGCGAAGGAGCGGGCGCGCACGAAGAAAGGAACGGGCAGGCGACCCCAGAGCAAAGGGCUUCAGCGGAUUGAGGGAACCAGCUUUGAGCCGGCAGGUCGGCCUCACGGAGACCUUAGCCCGGCGACGUUCAAGGGGCCCGAGGCUCCAGGAUCGCCACAGUCAACUCUGUUGGCUUCUAGGAACGCAGGAAGCGUCUAGAGAGCGUGACUCCCCCGGCAAUUUCUGUUGAAAUUGUCGGAACGGGAAUGCGCUUCGGAGCUGCGCCAUCGUCCCGCACGUUUCAGCGGGAGACUUGGGCGUCUCUCUGCGUGCAAAGGCUCCGUGGGACUUGAAAGUGCUUAGCGUGGAGUUGCACCCUGUGGUGGGCCGGCAGGCAGUGCCCUCUCUUCCGCCAGAAGCAGCUGAAAUGCCCUCUUGGUUCCAUCCCUUUCAAAUCCGAGGCCUUCAAAGUACCUCGUUCUGGCUGGAUCCCGCACUAAAGCAUGUAAGCUCUCAAGGAGAGUUGGGGAAACGGAUGACCUCCAGGUGUCGCUGGACUCCAGUUCCCACCAUCCCUGACCAUUUGCCGGGCGGACAGGUGCUGAUGGGAGAUGGAGUUCAGUGGCACCUGCAGCGCCACAAGGCCCCUCCUUUGGUCUAAGAUGAAGGCCUGCUGUUCAGGCAGGUCUGGUAGUCUAUUCCAGAAUUAUGAUCAAGAGCUGCUGUCGCCGAGCAGGAAAUGUAUUGCUCAAAGGCGCUUUUUUCUUAUUCCUAGGGAAGUACUACCAGAAUCAAGGCUGCGCAUGGAAAAGAUGCUGGAGCUUUCUCGGAUGAAAGGAGCAAGCGAUCCAGGGUUUGCUUUAAUGGGGAAAUGUCUGCUCUCUUGUUUAAAAGAUGGCAUUCGUGUGAGCAAGGAUGCCACUGGAAAGCGAACUCUCCUCGAAUGUGGCAUUAGCGCUUUCUUCCCUUCAAAGCGCUUCGCAGGCGCGUGAUCUCAGUCAGAAGUCACCCUAUUAUAGCAAUGCUUUCCCGGCGGUUUUAGAGGGCAGGAGGCUGGGUCUUGGCGCGGACCUUUCCCGAGCGCCACCAAUCGAGAACUUCCCGGCUCGCUCCUUGAUCUCCCGUGCAUUCAGGUGGACUUAACUUCCAAAAUCAACCUACAGUAUUUGGGUUCGUGGGCGAGGAAGGGGCCACUUCGGACGGGGGAGGGAUUCAGAAACUCACCAAGCCCUCAUCAAAGGGAACGAGCUUUGUUCAAAAACAAAGCAACAAUAAGUAUUUGUUGCCUUUCUGUUACUUUUUUUAAAAAAUAUAUAUAUCACAGCAAAGAAUAGACUAAAGAAUUGACUAAAACGUAGGGAGGACGGGACGGCAGGUAAGUCCCGCCCUGCCUAACCGGUCACAAGACUUGGCGCACGUACACCAUUUGAAUGGCAGUGCCCAUCAACUUGGGGGAGGACGGCCACCUCAAAUAUUUAGGGGGGGGGGCUGAAGGGACUUCGGCCCCUAGGAAUUGGCUCCUACGUAUAGACUCCACUGUGCCGUUCUCUUGCGCGAACCCUAAUGAUGCGUCAAAGAGGCGCAUCUCUGAUCACUUUAAGUGCGGUUUGAAAAGAACAACUACACGUGCGCCGACGGUUAUCAACCACCUAUUAGGGGAUCUUUCCUUUCCUUUAAUAAUAGGGAUCAGCAUGUGUAGGACAUGUGAGCAGCUCCGAGAUUUUGAUGCUCCUGAAGUGGAAUAAUUAUAAAUUGUCUGAAACACUCUGAAAAGCGGAUCUCCCCACCACCACCACCGCGCGCGAAGCAGAGCCACUGGAUUGGCUGGCUUGUUGGCAGGGCAAUUCAGCGGAUGCAUCAAUGGGCAGGUGCUGCUUCUGCACCUGGAGCACCUGGAGCUGCAAGGAAAAGGGUGAUUCUUCAGAGAGGAAUCCCAUUUGUCUCCUUCCAUUGUUCAGACACGGCAGGGGAAAGGCGGGCAGGCAAGCAAGCAGCGCUCACUACAAUUUGCCAGGUGUCGUCCACUGAAAAGAAGGGAGCCCUGUCUUUUUUCCCUUACCUGAAAAGCCAGGUCUGUGCCAGCUAGGAAAGGAACGGGGUCCCCCUCUGGUUUUUCUGAAAGGGCCCCUCCACCUCAUCACUCCCUUGCACAUCAAUGAGCACCCGAGGAACCUAUAGCUUGUAGCAUGGCCCUGCCAAAGCAAGCCUCUGAAACUCAGGGGUCAUCUCCACAUUUAUUUAUUUAUUUAUUUAUUUAUUAAAAUUGAUGCACCCCUUGAUUUCUUUUUUAAAAAAACACUCUUCAAAAAUUGCCUCAGUUUUCUGAGCAGCUGGGUAGGUGCCAAUCCCAUAAACAUUUUUUUUGUUUUUUAGGCCAAGAAGUGUUUCCUUUUGUCUGGCCUAAACGGAACCCCAAUUCGCUUCCCUGGUGACCCAGAGCUCUCCUCUCCCAAAUAGCCACUGUUGCCUUCAUGUCCAUACCACCCAUGUGGCUUCCUGCUGGUUUUUAUUUAUAAAGCCAUAAGUUGUCUAGUACAGGUGUGGGCAGAGUUCAAGUUUGUUGGAACUACGGUCCCCCCCCCCGAACCCUAGGAUCUACCAACCAGAGCCAAGUGUAAAAGAACAGGUGCCUCUGGACACAUUCUGAACCUGAACCUGAUCAGUCUUUCCCAACAGAAAUCAACUCCUGGUUAGCUUUCCUCAUUUCAGCAGCCUAAUUUAGAUGGGAGAAGCUAUUCAAAAAAUUAGUAGCAAGAAACUAUUGCAGAUCUAGUGCCAAUCACUCAGAGAUCUACCAGUGGACCCAGAUCUACCUCCUGCCCAACCCUGGUCCAGAACCAUGAGGGUACCUGGGGGAUCCUUACUCUCUUAUGAACCAACCCAGGAGCUAAAUUCUUCAAUGACAGUCUUCUCCAGAUGCCACCGCCUGUCUGGCCACCAGGGACAUGGCCUAUUCUGGUUGUGAAAGUCCAGUGGCUCACAGCGACCCACUUGAGAACUUUAUUGUUAUAUUUUAGGUGCCACGUAAAGGCUCUCUUGUUUCUUUGGGUGACCUAUUUGGUUGCUGGGUUUUACCGCAUCAGAUGGUUGCAUUUUGCCUCUUUGUGACCUGUUGCUUUUAUGGUUUCUUCUGUACUAUAGUGUGGUUGCAGUUAUGCAAUGUGUACUUUUGUGACAUGGAUUUUCUGAAAGUGCUAUUUACAGCAGGGUACAAGUGUUUUCAAACAAAUAAACCUGUAUCAGCUUCAAUGAAAA